rnacentral:rRNA from 1 species
UACGUAGGGGGCUAGCGUUGUUCGGAAUUACUGGGCGUAAAGCGCACGUAGGCGGCUUUGCAAGUCGGAUGUGAAAUCCCUCGGCUUAACCAAGGAAGUGCAUCCGAAACUGCAGAGCUUGAGUACUUAAGAGGAUCGCGGAAUUCCCGGUGUAGAGGUGAAAUUCGUAGAUAUCGGGAGGAACACCAGUGGCGAAGGCGGCGAUCUGGGAAGAUACUGACGCUGAGGUGCGAAAGCGUGGGGAGCAAACAGG